UUCCUACGGGGGGCAGCAGUGAGGAAUAUUGGUCAAUGGCCGGAAGGCUGAACCAGCCAAGCCGCGUGAAGGACGAAGGUGCCAAGCAUUGUAAACUUCUUUUGUCAAGGGACAAAAUCAGGCUCGAGAGCCUGACCGAGGGUACUUGAAGAAAAAGCAUCGGCUAACUCCGUGCCAGCAGCCGCGGUAAUACGGAGGAUGCGAGCGUUAUCCGGAUUUAUUGGGCGUAAAGGGAACGCAGGCGGUCUUUUAAGUCUGAUGUGAAAGCCUUCGGCUUAACCGGAGUAGUGCAUUGGAAACUGGGG
rnacentral:rRNA from 1 species